CUUAUAUUCUGUAGCAAGGUUAACCGUAUAGGGGAGCCGAAGGGAAACCGAGUCUUAACUGGGCGUUAAGUUGCAGGGUAUAGACCCGAAACCCGGUGAUCUAGCCAUGGGCAGGUUGAAGGUUGGGUAACACUAACUGGAGGACCGAACCGACUAAUGUUGAAAAAUUAGCGGAUGACUUGUGGCUGGGGGUGAAAGGCCAAUCAAACCGGGAGAUAGCUGGUUCUCCCCGAAAGCUAUUUAGGUAGCGCCUCGUGAACUCAUCUUCGGGGGUAGAGCACUGUUUCGGCUAGGGGGUCAUCCCGACUUACCAACCCGAUGCAAACUGCGAAUACCGAAGAAUGUUAUCACGGGAGACACACGGCGGGUGCUAACGUCCGUCGUGAAGAGGGAAACAACCCAGACCGCCAGCUAAGGUCCCAAAGUCACAGUUAAGUGGGAAACGAUGUGGGAAGGCUCAGACAGCCAGGAUGUUGGCUUAGAAGCAGCCAUCAUUUAAAGAAAGCGUAAUAGCUCACUGGUCGAGUCGGCCUGCGCGGAAGAUGUAACGGGGCUAAACUGUGCACCGAAGCUGCGGCAGCGACGCUUAUGCGUUGUUGGGUAGGGGAGCGUUCUGUAAGCCUGCGAAGGUGUCCUGUGAGGGAUGCUGGAGGUAUCAGAAGUGCGAAUGCUGACAUAAGUAACGAUAAUGCGGGUGAAAAGCCCGCUCGCCGGAAGACCAAGGGUUCCUGUCCAACGUUAAUCGGGGCAGGGUGAGUCGACCCCUAAGGCGAGGCCGAAAGGCGUAGUCGAUGGGAAACGGGUUAAUAUUCCCGUACUUGGUGUUACUGCGAAGGGGGGACGGAGAAGGCUAUGUUGGCCGGGCGACGGUUGUCCCGGUUUAAGCGUGUAGGCUGGUUUUCCAGGCAAAUCCGGAAAAUCAAGGCUGAGGCGUGAUGACGAGGCACUACGGUGCUGAAGCAACAAAUGCCCUGCUUCCAGGAAAAGCCUCUAAGCAUCAGGUAACAUCAAAUCGUACCCCAA
rnacentral:rRNA from 1 species